UACGUAGGGGGCAAGCGUUGUCCGGAAUCAUUGGGCGUAAAGAGCGUGUAGGCGGCUCGAUAAGUCCGCUGUGAAAGUCCAGGGCUCAACCCUGGAAGGCCGGUGGAAACUGUCGGGCUAGAGUCCGGAAGAGGCGAGUGGAAUUCCCGGUGUAGCGGUGAAAUGCGCAGAUAUCGGGAGGAACACCAAUGGCGAAGGCAGCUCGCUGGGACGGUACUGACGCUGAGACGCGAAAGCCAGGGGAGCAAACGGG
rnacentral:rRNA from 1 species